AGACAUCAAUGAAUGUUCUCCCAAGCCGUGUCAGAACGGAGCCACGUGCGCGCAAAGUAUCAACAACUACACGUGCACGUGUGUAGCGGGCUACACCGGAAGAAACUGUCAAACAGAAACCACCAGAAGCAGUCAAACGUCAUCGACACAAAGCACACGGCGAAUAAAUGCCGUUUCAACUACCCAGAAGCUCCUUUGAACGACACAGCACGUUAUUCCAACUUCGCCACCAUCUGACGCUUUAAAAACAACUGAAAACUUUAUCUCAACUACAAACACCGGACAGGGAAAAAACGACGCACGUGUCUUGAAUCAAAGUGCUGCAAACGACAGAUUUCAAAACGUAAUUAUUGCUGUUGCGUGCGCAGUGUCUGCGGUGAUCAUCAUCAUAGCAGUCGUGAUUGUCGUGGUAUGUGUAAAGCGUAAACGCCGAUCUGUCGCAAACGUCCCACUUCAAGAUACGCCGCGCGAAGAUCAAGUGGCUCAAGAGGAAGGCUACGCUAGAAUUGAAGGGGCCGAGUGUCAAUACGCCGUGGUAAACAAACCCAAGAAACUCUCGACGCUUCAAACAAAACAAUACCCACGUUCUGUAAACAUACCAAUGGAAACCCAGUUCCAACUCGAGAAACCCCGUGGAGCCGGCGAACUCAUAUAUGCUGAUCUGGACAAAGAAGCAUUGACGGCUAAGCCGAUAGAUUCAAAACCUGCUGGUACCCCAGAAAGGCCAAGAACGCCAACGGAGUAUGUAGGCAUUGACUUCGCGAGAACUGUUGCGUUACAGGACGCGAAUAAGCAAGACGAGUAGCGGAUAAUUUGUUAAAGUUUCCAUACUUUAUUGAUGAGCUACAACUUAUAACGAUGGCUUGUAUAGGUAGCAUUGGGUACUUAGAUCGUCACUGCCAAAACGUUGACAGAAGUUCUACUUUAUAAACAAUCAUAACAGGUUUUGCAUUAGGUCUUAAUUGCUACAUGACAAACAUUGACUCCAAGGAAUCCAAGAUAAUUAAAGUACCUGUUUACAUCUUUCAGCGGUACAGCAGUUUUAAGCGAUGUGUUGACUGUGUAAAUGUGUAAAGUAGCAUUGAUUUCUGAAAAGCUAGAAAUGAAAAUGUGGCGCAUCUAAAACAUGAAGAUAUUUCGUUGAAUUUCUUUGAUAAUAUUCCUGUAUUUGUAUUGUUUUUUUCCUUGUACUUAGUUUUGCCAUAGAUGGUAAUGAACCUAAGAAAAAAAUACUUGCGUACUACUUGUUGUUUUAGUUGUACUUGAACGUUGUUUUUGAAUUGACUGUCAAAAGAUUCAGCAUGUGUAUGUGACGUACAAUUCAAAAUUACAAUCAUGUAUAAAGCAAUCGUCUUGACAUUUUAAAGGGAUAAUGUUGCUUGUUAAUAUUUAUUUUACAAAGUUGAGCAUUGAUCAUUUUAUUGAUUGUUCUUAUCGAUUGUACACCAACACGAAAUUAUUUUCUAUAUAAUGGUUAAUAUACAGUAUGUUUAAGACUGAACUUACUUCGGCAUAACGUUCUAAAAGGUUCAAUUCGUUAAGCCAUUACUUCAAAUGGUGUAAACAGACAGGUGCAAAAAACCAUUUCAUUACGUUCCGCAAUUGUCGUAGGUGUAUUUUGUUUGCAUUUUUAUUUGAUGUCUUGUUGUUUUUUGUGUUUUUUUUGCUAUGGAUGUUAAUUAUAUUUUUGUUAUGUAAAUAUGUAUUUUUGUUGAAUUUAUGCGCAAUCCAGUGAGCAUGGCUUUCUUGUGUUUUGUUUACAUACAUUGAUAGUAUAUCUAUAACUAUUAGGUUUUGUUUGGCUUGUAAGUACAAAGUUGAUAUUUUUGCGGUGGUUCUCAAGAUGGUUCUGGAUGUCACGUGUGUUUGGGUGUGGCACGAUUCGAACUCAGAGACUUGAAUUAACCAUCUUUGUAGAGGACCGCAAUCUAAGGUCACAAACUAAAUAUAAAUUCAAUUAAAAAUAGUUGCCCAAACAACCACAGAAAGGGAAAAAUUUAACUCAAGGGACAUGACUAAAAAAACAUUUCAGGAGCACUUUAUGAUGUUACGUGCCACAAAUUACACCUCUUUGCCUUAUUAUUUGAGUGUUGACAAUUCUAAGAUCCACAUGCUAUUGAGUGUUCUGGGGAGUCCCGAGAUUGCGUUUUACUUUUAAGGUCAUGAAAUAAAUUUCAAGGCUUACGGAAAGUUAAACUGGACAAAUAGUGAACACAUAAACAUAAGUUUCUCUUAAACACCACAUUUUGAAUAUAACAAGUAACAUAUCAUCCCCUUACUAAAGCAAUAAUAACAUUAUUAUUGUGUGCCAAUUAUUUUGUAUUAUUUGAUAUUGUAUGUUUCUUUGCAUUAUGAAUGAGGCUUUCAACCAAAUUGGAAUUAAAGAAAUAAAAAAGU